GACGUAGGGGGCCAGCGUUGUUCGGAAUUACUGGGCGUAAAGAGCUCGUAGGUGGUUUGUCGCGUUGUUCGUGAAAACUCACAACUCAAUUGUGGGCGUGCGGGCGAUACGGGCAGACUGGAGUACUGCAGGGGAGACUGGAAUUCCUGGUGUAGCGGUGGAAUGCGCAGAUAUCAGGAGGAACACCGGUGGCGAAGGCGGGUCUCUGGGCAGUAACUGACGCUGAGGAGCGAAAGCGUGGGGAGCGAACAGG
rnacentral:rRNA from 1 species